UGGAUCCAGACUUUGAUCAUGGCUCAGGAUGAACGCUGGCGGCGUGCCUAAUACAUGCAAGUCGAACGAAACUUCUUUAUCACCGAGUGCUUGCACUCACCGAUAAAGAGUUGAGUGGCGAACGGGUGAGUAACACGUGGGCAACCUGCCCAAAAGAGGGGGAUAACACUUGGAAACAGGUGCUAAUACCGCAUAACCAUAGUUACCGCAUGGCAACUAUGUAAAAGGUGGCUAUGCUACCGCUUUUGGAUGGGCCCGCGGCGCAUUAGCUAGUUGGUGGGGUAAAGGCUUACCAAGGCAAUGAUGCGUAGCCGAACUGAGAGGUUGAUCGGCCACAUUGGGACUGAGACACGGCCCAAACUCCUACGGGAGGCAGCAGUAGGGAAUCUUCCACAAUGGGCGAAAGCCUGAUGGAGCAACGCCGCGUGGGUGAAGAAGGUCUUCGGAUCGUAAAACCCUGUUGUUAGAGAAGAAAGUGCGUGAGAGUAACUGUUCACGUUUCGACGGUAUCUAACCAGAAAGCCACGGCUAACUACGUGCCAGCAGCCGCGGUAAUACGUAGGUGGCAAGCGUUGUCCGGAUUUAUUGGGCGUAAAGGGAACGCAGGCGGUCUUUUAAGUCUGAUGUGAAAGCCUUCGGCUUAACCGGAGUAGUGCAUUGGAAACUGGGAGACUUGAGUGCAGAAGAGGAGAGUGGAACUCCAUGUGUAGCGGUGAAAUGCGUAGAUAUAUGGAAGAACACCAGUGGCGAAAGCGGCUCUCUGGUCUGUAACUGACGCUGAGGUUCGAAAGCGUGGGUAGCAAACAGGAUUAGAUACCCUGGUAGUCCACGCCGUAAACGAUGAAUGCUAAGUGUUGGAGGGUUUCCGCCCUUCAGUGCUGCAGCUAACGCAAUAAGCAUUCCGCCUGGGGAGUACGACCGCAAGGUUGCAACUCAAAUGAAUUGACGGA
rnacentral:rRNA from 1 species